rnacentral:rRNA from 1 species
AACGAACGCUGGCGGCAUGCCUAACACAUGCAAGUCGAACGAGACCUUCGGGUCUAGUGGCGCACGGGUGCGUAACGCGUGGGAACCUGCCCUUAGGUUCGGAAUAACUCCCCGAAAGGGGUGCUAAUACCGGAUAAUGUCUUCGGACCAAUGAUUUAUCGCCUUUGGAUGGGCCCGCGUUGGAUUAGCUAGUUGGUAGGGUAAAAGCCUACCAAGGCGACGAUCCAUAGCUGGUCUGAGAGGAUGAUCAGCCACACUGGGACUGAGACACGGCCCAGACUCCUACGGGAGGCAGCAGUGGGGAAUAUUGGACAAUGGGCGAAAGCAUGAUCCAGCAAUGCCGCGUGAGUGAUGAAGGCCUUAGGGUUGUAAAGCUCUUUUACCCGGGAUGAUAAUGACAGUACCGGGAGAAUAAGCUCCGGCUAACUCCGUG